rnacentral:lncRNA from 1 species
CACAGACGGGCUCCCACAGUGCAGCGGUGGGGCGAAGGGCUCCUCAAGCGCGGCCAGAGUGGACGUCCAGGCCGAGGAGACACGGAGAGCGAGCAAGGGCUGCCAGCACGCUGUCACUUCUUAUUAAGCUACUGUUUAAGACAGAAUUCAUCAAGUAGCAGAAGUGAUGGAAGGGCCAAGGGGAAGAAAGAUGGACAAAACCUGAAAAUUGAAAGUGCAAUAAAAUGAAAAUUACAAAUGAAAACCAGUAUGCCUGAGAUAUACAUGACUGUUUAGUAGAGUGUCUUCAUGUGGGUUAAAGAAGAAAAGGAAAUAUCAGCUGGAAUCAGCAGAACAGAUUUAGCACUUGACCCUUGGAUACUUUUCAUUCUAUUUAUCUGUCAUAUUUUUAUUGGUUUGUAUUCCAUUGACCACUAUAUGCACCGACCCUCAGCAAAUUCAUUCAAUAGAGAGGAGAGAUUAUAUCUCCACUGUAUCAGUGGAGCUGUUUAGGAACGUUUCUCCCGCUUCUUGUAUGUAUUUUGUCCUAUUUGUACAUUGUAUUUUAUGAGCUGCUUUAGA